UCUGCGCAAAGCAGUCCUGCCAAUAUCCAUCGCCUUCUUCCUUUGCUCUGCUCCAUUCUGUACCUGUACACCGGCGAUUUGCAAAGCUAGGGUUAGCAAUUUGCUCCGUUGCCUCUCUCUCCUCCCUCCCCUCCUCUGCUGGGCUACUCGACCUCUUCUUCCCCGUGUCCUGUACCUAGUUCCAGCGUCGUACAAGUGCCAACGCCCCUCCUCUCCCGUGUAACGGCUGCGCCGCCGGCGAGCGCGUACAUGUAGCGCCGCCGUGCUUUAGGUCCGGACAACGUCGACCCAACCAUCGCAAAGAAUACGGCCACCUUCUGCAGCUUAAAGUAUCAAGAGAGUAGUAGCUGAUGUGCGAUAGGUGAUGGUGGGACUCAGAUUUUGUGGGAAAUCUGGAGAUGUUUGGGUUUUGAGAUUUUGAUGCUUGUUCAGACUCCAUACCAAGGCAGCCCGCGCUCAUCCCUUCCUAGCAAGAGGCGGAUGCAUCCACAUGUUUAACUCCCUUGAGAGAAACUUAUUUGUAUGAGACAUGUGACGAAUCGAUGAUGAGCGUUUCAGUAUUAUGCUUAUUUGCAUGUUACUAUUAAGUGCCAUUCAAUUUACAUAUACUAUGUGAUCAAAUUAA